AACGAACGCUGGCGGCAUGCCUAACACAUGCAAGUCGAACGAAGGCUUCGGCCUUAGUGGCGCACGGGUGCGUAACGCGUGGGAAUCUGCCCUUUGGUUCGGAAUAACAGCUGGAAACGGCUGCUAAUACCGGAUGAUGACGAAAGUCCAAAGAUUUAUCGCCAGAGGAUGAGCCCGCGUUGGAUUUGGUAGUUGGUGGGGUAAAGGCCUACCAAGCCGACGAUCCAUAGCUGGUCUGAGAGGAUGAUCAGCCACACUGGGACUGAGACACGGCCCAGACUCCUACGGGAGGCAGCAGUGGGGAAUAUUGGACAAUGGGCGCAAGCCUGAUCCAGCAAUGCCGCGUGAGUGAUGAAGGCCCUAGGGUUGUAAAGCUCUUUUACCCGGGAAGAUAAUGACUGUACCGGGAGAAUAAGCCCCGGCUAACUCCGUG
rnacentral:rRNA from 1 species